rnacentral:lncRNA from 1 species
AGAACCUCCCCCGAUCCUGCGUGUCCCGUGCUCCUCUCCGAGACCCCGGUCGCCCCAGCGUCCGCAGCAGUCCUGGAAAAAUGUUUAUUUGUGUAGCAAAGCAGGGAGCGGGGCGGCGGGGCUACUUCUUCUUUUUCUUGGCCGCCUUGAGCUUCCCCUCGAUUAGCCGCUGCGCCUGCCUCUUGAUCUCGGCGCGCGAAGGGACGUAGCUGUGGUCCAUGUCGGGGAACUGGAAGGUGUCUGCGGGCGGAGGCGGCGGCUCGCACACGGGGCUAGCCCAGCUAGGCGCAGCCGCCCGACCCGCCUCUCGCCCCCGCCCUCCACCGACCCGGGCCAGGUGCCUUGCCCCAGGGACAGCCCCAGCGUGCCGGGAGGACUCAGCCCAGCCCAUUCGCAGCGGCUCACGCUGCCCUGCCUAGCCUUUCCCGCAGAACCCCCAGUGGAAGCUCCGGCCCAGGCCUUCACCGCGCUCCUCCCUGCUCCAGCCCUGGUGCCUCUCCUCCGGGCCCGUCUGGCAUGGCAUGCCUCCUCCUUUCGGAGAAAUUAACAAGGGCAAAGCCCCCUUCAGCCGUGCAGACACUCUGAACGGGAGCCUGUCAGCUUUGAGGGGACGUGGGCUGUGCAGGUUCCUCCCAGCCCGGGGCUACCUCCUCGGUCCUGGACACCAUCUGCACUCUGUCAGCCAGCAUGUCUGUCAUUUUCUUCUCAACGGACUUGAAGCUGCAGAAGGCAAUAGGGACACAGCAGUGAGGGGCACAGGCCCGAGAGCCAUGGUGGGCCACCCAGGAGCCCAGUCCUGAGUUGGGUGCUGUGCCAGAAUCAGGGACUCAGAAGCUCAGGUGUGUGCAAGUGGAGUCCCCUGGCCCCUCUGUGGGACACACAGGCUUGUUGGCAGUGGGUAUACUCCCAGCUCCCAGCCUGGCUGCAGCCCGGGGCCUUUGUGAGACUGGGGUGGGUGGCCCGCAGCCCCGGAAGCCCGGGGCACCUGAUGGAGCUAGGCUUCUGGCGGAACUUGAGCACGGCCUCCUCCAGCUCCAGCUGCUUCACCAGGGCCUUCAGCUGCACCCGCCACUCCUCACAGUCCUCCAUCUGCAGCUCCAGGUUCUCCUCCGUGUUCCUCUGGGCCAGGAAGCGGCUAGUGAUGUCCUGGCCAGUCCGGGGGAGAGAGAAGCAGAGUGCCUCAGACCCCAGCCCAGCUCAGCCACCCUCCUGCCAUGCUCCGGGAGUGCCAGGGAGCAUUACCCAGACGUGAGAGGCUCAGCCACCCUCCUGCCAUUCUCUGGGAGCGCCAGGGGCAUUACCCAGACGUGAGAGCACCGUACAGCACUCUUGACCUUCUCCACCACAGCAGUCACGCCCGACUGGUAUUCCAUUUCUGCUGUGGAGGUCUCUUUUCUCCUCACUGGCAGAGCAGAGGGGAGGGGCAGUCAGCAUGCAGGGAUGGCUCAGGGGCUCUGUGUAAGGCUGUCAGACACCUCUGUACCUGCCCAGCUGCUGGGGCGGCCACCCAAGACACAGGCAUCCUUCAGAGAUGCCUGCCCCCGCCCCAACCUGCUCCCUCCUCAGCCCAGCCCUGCAGGGACGCCCCAGGCAGCCCCAGAGCAGAGGUGGACCCGGAGUGAGUGGCGCAGCACUGUGAGCACUGUGGGCCCGGUGGUGCUUCUCAGAGGCAGCUUAGGGGUCAGGAUGCUCAUCCUCUGCAGAGUCACUGGGGACUGGGCCCUUGGUGCAGGGCCCUUGGGUGCUGGGGCCAGCAUCUCUGAGGCCACAUUUGGCUACAGGCUCUCAGCCUCUGGAGGGAGAGGCAGGGACCUGUCCUUCCCUUCACCCUGGCGACCACAUGUCACACCUGGCCUCAGGGUGACUUGAUCCGUUGGCCUGAAUCAGUGCCAGCCUCUCCUUGGGACCCUGGCUGGGGGCAGGUGGGGAGCUGAGCGCUUACAUUUCAGGGUCUCCGUGCUCAUCAGGUUCGAGGGGAAGUCCAAGUCCAUCUGGCCCUGAUGGGAGGUGGGGGCGGGGAAGGGAUGAGACAUCCUUGGCAGGGAGUGGGCCCUGAGUGGUGGCCCUGAGCCUGUGUCCACCCAGCUGUCAUGGGGAUGGGCAGCCAGCCAGGCCCUGGCCUGGGGCUUACCCGGCGGUACUUCUCGCUGGUCUCCUUCGUGUGGAUCUUGUCGAUCAGCUUCUUCUGCUGGUUGAGCCGGUUCUCCCUUGCCCGGCGCUCCUCGAUGAAGGACGCCUCCCUUUGCCUCAUGUUCCUCUGGGGACAUGCGGGUGGGCACAGGGUUGGGGAGCUGUCUCAACAAGGCCCCUAAUGGCAGUAAAGCCAGCGGGCGGUUGGCCAUGCUCACCUUACUAGACUUUGGAACUGCAUCCCCGGCCAAUGGCCACACCCUUUUCCUAAACCACUUGUGCCCGUGGCCCCUCAGCUCACGGCCCUCCUUGCCCAUGCCUCAGAGCAUGUGCCAGCCCAGACGCUCUGCUGCCCUCCAGCCGCUGGCCCCCAGCUGCCUCCUGGCCAGGUCCACCUAGAACUCACGGAAGUGCAUUCAGCCUGCCUGAAGACAGAUUCAUCCUCUUCCCCAAAACCUGGCCUCUUCCAGCGUGCCCUUGGGCAGCUAAAACCGUCAUCUGCUAACCCCUGCUCACGCACCCCAGACACUGCUCUCACCCUCGCCACUCUCGUUGCCAGCGCUUAGUGGGGUUGCCUCUUGAGGAGUUCUCAGCUCCGUUGCUCCUGGCCACCCCUUCUCCACCCCGGGUAUACCCAGGUGAUCAGCGCUUCUGCCCUGGCACCUUCCAGUCCCUGCAGCCUGAGUACACCCUUUCUGAAGCACAGACCUGGUCACAUCUUUCCUCCACCUCCUCCCAGGGCUCCAGGUCAGUCCUUGGGCCCCCAGCCCAGCCGCCUCCGUGGACUCCUGGGGCCUGUGCCUCUGCAGCCUCCACUGCCCUGGCCACACGCUGCUCCAUGUAUCACACCCCUCCCAGCCCAGGGCCUUUUCCCAAGUUGUACCUCCUCCUCCCUAGCCCUGGCCACACCUGACCUUUGCGGGUUCAAUCCCUCAGCCCAGCUCAAGCACUGUCUUCCUGGAAAGCCAUCUGCCACCCCACCUGUCUCUGCUGAGCUGGCUCAGGGGCUGUGUGGCAUUUCUUCAUGGACUACUGGAUGAGUGCCACCCACUUCAGGAGGACAGGGUCUGCCUGUCCCGGUCCCUGCUGUAUCCCCAGAGCCUUGCAGGGACCUUGGCACAGACUGGGUGAAUAGGUGACCCCCGCCCUGGCCCGGCCAGUUCUCUCCCUCUCCUCUACUUCAUGGCUCCUGUGCUGGAUGGGACCUGCUCUGUCCAGUGGGUGAGCAGAGCAGGCUGGCCGGGCUGGCCACUGGAUCCUUCUGGGGAUUGUAGGCAGUGUGGGCAUGGGGGUCUCCUGAGAGACCCUGGCCAGAAGACACAAGAGAGCCCGCCCUGGGGGGCCCCAGCCCUGGGCCCUGAGCUCACCUUGACCCCAUCCGAAGAUCCAAGAGGGCUGGCCCUGGGGGGCCCCCAGCCCUGGGCCCUGAGCUCACCUUGACCCCAUCCGAAGAUCCAAGAGGGCUGGCCCUGGGGGGCCCCAGCCCUGGGCCCUGAGCUCACCUUGACCCCAUCCGAAGAUCCAAGAGGGCUGGCCCUGGGGGGCCCCCGGCCCUGGGCCCUGAGCUCACCUUGACCCCAUCCGAAGAUCCAAGAGGGCUGGCCCUGGGGGGCCCCCAGCCCUGGGCCCUGAGCUCACCUUGACCCCAUCCGAAGAUCCAAGAGGGCUGGCCCUGGGGGGCCCCCGGCCCUGGGCCCUGAGCUCACCUUGACCCCAUCCGAAGAUCCAAGAGGGCUGGCCCUGGGGGGCCCCCAGCCCUGGGCCCUGAGCUCACCUUGACCCCAUCCGAAGAUCCAAGAGGGCUGGCCCUGGGGGGCCCCCAGCCCUGGGCCCUGAGCUCACCUUGACCUCAUCCGUGAUCAUCAUGGCAUCUUGGGACAUGAUCUUCAUAUCCGACAGCUCUGAGCAGUAGUUGACCACGAGGUUCUGCAGCUUGUCCAGCUCAAUGGGGUAUCCUGCCAGCACCUGUGUUGAAUGGGGUUCUCUUGUGGCCCCUACAGAGUGGGCUGCAGUUGCCCCGAGCUUUUAUCCCCCGACUAAGAGCCCUGAGAACAGUGAUAGGUUCUCCUCUGUGGCCCCAGCCACCUCCCCCACUCCCCGCUGGGCACAACGGUGAUGAAAGGUGUUUCACAGGGAGUGGACAGUGCUGGCCUGGUGGACUCUUUCACCACCUAGGGUCCAACAACCCAGAGAGACUGAGAGAGUUUGUGAUGAAAUGCUCUGCAGAAAAGGCUGACUGAAACCCGGGGAGGUUUGGGGACAGUUCUGCUUUGAAGUGAAACAGAGGGGCUCAAGACAUGGGCUUGGGGUCAGAGAGUCAGGAUUCAAGGCCAAGGCAGCUUCUGACCAGCUAGUUUAGCUGUGUGACAUUGGGAAAGUUACUUAAUCUCUCUGUGUCCCCAUUUGUAAGAUGAUGGCUCGUUCAGAAGGUUGCCAUCAGGAUGAAUUGAGUGUAAAAGGAAUUAUUUAGCCCAGAACCAGGUACAUACGUGCUCAGGAUAGCUUUGCUAUAGUGGUUUGUUUUUUGUAACUACAAGUAUAGGCCAGGUGCGGUGGCUCACGCCUGUAAUCCCAACACUGGGAGGCCGGAGGCAGGCAGAUCAUGAGGUCAGGAGUUAGAGACCAGCCUGGCCAACAUAGUGAAACCCUGUCUCUACUAAAAAUACAAAAAAAAUCAGCCGGGCGUGGUAGUGGGCGCCUGUAAUUCUAGCUAUUCGGGAGGCUGAGGCAGGAGAAUCGCUUGAACCCGGGAGGCGGAGGUUGCAGUGAGCCGAGAUCUCACCACUGCACACCAGCUGGGGCAACAGUGUGAAACUCCAUCUCAAAAAACAAAACAAACAAAAACAAAACUAGAAGUGUAGAAUCUUCAUUUUUAAAAAUAUGGAUGACUAUGGGAAUUAUUGCUUGUUUUUUCCUUUGUUCUGAGACUGAAUCUCACUCUAUCACCCAGGCUGGAGUGCGAUGGUACGAUCUCGGCUUGCAGCAACCUCUGCCUUCUGGGUUCAGGUGAUUCUCGUGCCUCAGCCUCCCGAGUAGCUGGGAUUACAGGCAUGCACCACCAUGCCAGGCUACUUUUUGUAUUUUUAGUAGAGAUGAAGUUUCACCAUGUUGGCCAGGCUGGUCUAGAACUCCUGACCUCAAGUGAUCCGCCUGCCUUGGCCUCCCAAAGUGCUGGGAUUACAGGCAUGAGCCACCAUGCCCAGGCCGGGAAUAAUUGUUUUUUAAGUGUGUAUGUUCUAAACAGAAGAAGGCGCUACCAGAGGAACAGAAAGCACCCAGGCGAAGGAGGGGCAUGGACAGGGGUGGGGAGAGGGGUGGGCCCAGGAAGCAUAGAGGGGCAGGGCUUCCAGGUGAGCCAAUAGGACCAGGGGCCAAGGCAAGAGGGACAAGCAGAGGACGGUGCUGAGAGCCACCUGGGCUGGGACCACAGCAGGAAAAGAGCUGCGAUGCAGCCUCCGUCCACCACUCCUCCUAAACUGCACUUCCAUGCUGUCACCUUCCCGAAGCAUGGCUCUCCAGAGCUCCCCUUUGCCCAGUCUUAGGGUGAGGGUGUUUCCAGCUGGCUCCCCGCCCCAUCCACAGGUUGCUCCUCUUAGCACCUCCUGUGCUCUCCCUAUCUACAGCCCAUCUGGAGUAGGUUCUGCUUUGUGGCAGCCCGAGGGGCGGUGCUCAGCCUCCCAUGAAGGGGGUCUUCCCUCACAAUCGGACUGCUGGCUGCCUUUGGCCUCGUCUGCAGGGAGCAGGGCGGGUGGGCUGGCUGGGACGGCAGCAAGCCCUGCUUACAGGCCCAGCGGACCCUCAAAGGUGCAAGGACUUUCUGAGGGUGCAGGACCUGUCUGACUCUCAGAGGCCCAGGCAAUGAGAAAAUGACAGGCAAGAUACAAACAAUACCAAAUCAUUUAAUACGUGCAAGAAAGUCCGAAGAAUUCUGAUAUACCCCACGAUAUGCUUUUUUGGAAUAGCCAAAAAUGAAGUUUAAAAAAACGUUUUCCACAUGCCUCGGCGUCCUGCGUAGCCGGUGGUCAGGCAGAGCUCCCUCUCCCUGGCGGGUGCGGGGCGGCUCCGCCCCAGGACGCUCCCGCCCCUCCCAGAUCCCAGCCCCUGACCCCCGCCCUUCCCGGGCCGCUGGGCUCACUGUCUUCAGAUAAUCCAGCAGGUCCAAAUACAGCAGGUGGAUGUUCUGGCUGGUGAUGAUCUUGAUCAUUGUCUUCUCGAUGUUGUUCUCCAGCUGGCGGAUGAUCUGGGGCGGACCGAGGGCGCAGUGAGAGGGCGUGGGGACCGGCCGCCCGGAGGGUGUCGGGGCUGGGUUUUCUCCGGAGAGGGUCGUGCUCUCUUAGCCCCGCCCCUCCCGUGAGCCCUCCCCAGGGGACCCGCAAGUCCCGCCCCCCGGUGGCCCCGCCCCUCCCGUGAGUCUUGCCCCAGUGGACUCCGCCCCGCCCUCCCAGCCCCGCCUCUCCACCUGCAGCAGCCGCAGCUCCUCCUUGCUGGCGUCGGGCUGGCUCCGCAGGCUGUCCAGCUCCAGCUGCAUGCUCUCCAGCUUCUGCCCGCGCCGCCGCACCAGGUGGAUCAGUAGGUUGUGCAUGUUCACGCGGUCGAAGACGUACUUGCGCAGCUUCUCCCGCACCACCUGGGUCGGGAAGGGCACCGCCCACUCGUGGUUGCGUAGGGGGCCGCCAUGGAGCCCGCCAGCAGGCGGGCGGGUGGAGGCUCGUGGCAACCCCACAGGGAACCUGGGGCUGGGCACCUGCUCCGUCCCUCGUCGGCUCCGCAACAUCUAGUGGGGGGGUGCUGGCAGGGGUGGGGAGGGUUGGGUCUCGAGGCCCCUCCUGCCUGGUUACCUCCAUGGUGCUGCGGCAGUGCGCCAGUCGCAAAGGCAAGUUUUUCCCGCAGGCCUUGGAGAUGGUCCACUGGUCAUACUGCGGAGCGGCGGCGGCUGAGCUAGAGCGGGCCCUUUGCGCACCCGCAGCCGCUGGCUCCUCCAGGCAUUCUCCCCAGGGCCUCUUGUAUCCCACGCUAGCCCAGUAGCGAGAUCCCUGCUUCCACGAGGAGCAGAGAGCCGCGGGACCCCAUCCUGGCCAUCCAAGUUCGGAGGCGACGUGGUAGGGGGGUAUGCAGAGGAGGGCCUGGGUGUCCCCUAGCUGGCCGGAGAGCCAGAGGGGGCCCCUGCUGCAGGAUGUGGGCUCACAGAUGCCAAGCCCUCGGGUUGGGUGGUGGGAAACCUGCCCACCGGAUGCUGGGGUGACUGGAGCCCAGGGCACAGGUCCUAGCAGAGCCCCUCCUCACAUGCCCCCUGGAUCCAGAAAGAUUGGGGUGGGGGUGGAGAGGAGGUGCCCGCCCUCCGAGUGUGUGUGUACUCAGCUCCUGCCCUGCUCGCCAGGCAGAGGGGAGGGGCGGCGUUUGUGUACCUUCUUGGCCAAAGCCCAGUCCUGGGCCCCGCGGCGGAUGUUGCUGCGCAGGAGGGCCAGCGUGGCCUUGUUCUGGUCCAUAUUCUCUUUCACCCCUUGGAUCUGGAGUGCCCGACACUGCUCUGUGGGCAGGUGGAGGGGACACAGUGGCUAGGAUUGGGCCAAGGGCCUGGCCUGGAAUCCCCUGGGGGAGGCUUGCAUCAGGGAGGCCCCAGGCCCCAGGGUCCAGGGGGAUGCCCCCUCCAUGGCCAAGAUCCCUCCUCCCGCCCUGUCCUGGGGGACACCGCUCCACUGCCCAGCAGCA